AGCCCAGUCAGAUUUGUUAUGAUUUUUUUUUGGAAAGGAGCAAUUUUGAAAUUUAUUGUCAAUUUUUGUUGUAAAUUAAGUUUUGUCAUAAUCAUCCAUCACUUUCCGCUUAUUAAUACAUUUUCAGUGAUUUGAGUUUAGGUGUCCAAACUUGGAUACUUCCAUCAGUCUCUAAUUGGGGAGAUUUUUAAGAGACAAAGCAGAAUGGCAUUUAAAUUAAGCUACAGCUUUGAAGGUAAUACUAAAACCAGACCCGAGCAAAAUUUAUCUGGCGCCAGUCGGAAACUUACCAGAGACGACCUGAUACAAAAGACUCAAGAAGAACGUCGCAAAAGACAAGAGCAAAGAUUAAAGUUACAAAGUGCAGAGCUCUUACAAUCACAUAUCCGUAGCUACCUUGUUAGGAAACAUGUCAAAGAAGAGCAGAGACAGCAAUAUAGCCGGAUAGAGAGUAGCAUUAGUGUUUCUGACAAGUUAAAAAAACUAUUAUUUUUUUACGAUCCCAGUUUAGAUUUUGAUAAACUGUUAAAAUUAUCAAAGAAUGUGCUUAGUCAGGUGAAAGAGAUUCACCAUAAAGUAAACACGGAUUCCCAAUCAGCUUGGGCACUAAAAAGAUUCUUAGUUUUAUGUAUGAAACAUUUUAACUGUGCAAACGUUGAUGUCAUGCUGAAAGUUGUUAAUGUAUUUACCGAUAAGGCGGAUAUAGUCUUCUAUUUAUUAAGAAAAGGUUACUACAGAUUCUUAAGGAACUUGUUGGACAACAGUCCCAAGGAGAGGCUACCGGAAGUAACCGCCUUAAUACACAAACCUUUAAAGUUUUUAAGUGACUUCGGUCCGAGUCAAGACACAGUACUCUCAGAAUUCUGUGACAACUUCCUGAGACCUAAGAUAACCCAUAAUAUUAAAUACUACCUUAUUCCAUAUUUAAAAGGGAAGUCUGACUCUCUGUAUUAUGAUAAACUCAUAAGGUAUUUAAGCAGCAGUUAUUAUAUUACAGCGAGCAAUAGCUUGUUUUAUUGCAUGUUAGCACUGGAACCUACAGAUUAUGAACCAACCUAUGACACUAUCCACAUUCUUUCACUCUUAAGUAAAGACUUGCACACCUUAAGGCCGGGAUUAGAUCUCACAGAUGAUGACGACUAUGACGAAGAUGACGAUAUAGAAAUGACCGAUGAAAAGGUCUUGCUUUCCGAUUAUUUAAACAUCAUGAACGGCUCUAAUAAAGUUAAGAAAUGGCUUAACUUUUUCGAGGCGAACUCUGACGACCAAUCGGUGCUCAAGUGUUUCGUGAAUUUUGCUCAGAACUUAUUGUUAGUUUAUAAGGAUUCGAUCAGAAAGUUUUUGUUGCUUUAUAAAUUGGGCCUGAAUAGUAUUUUCCUGAAAAAGCUGUGGUCAACCAUAUCAAAAAGUCAACCGGCGGACUUGCAGAUUAACGGGGCGUCUUUAUUGUCUUGGAAAGACUGCCACACUAACCUCUCAGUGUUCUGUGAUAUGUUUACUUUUUAUACCGAAACUCUUACUGAUAAGGAAAAUUCUGACACAAGCGAAACUUUUACGCCAAACGAUUUACAUUCGAUGUCAUCACUUUUAAAAGGAGUCGCUUUAGAUCUGAUUGAAGUGGCUUUUCCUAUGUGCCGAGCAAGUUCAAUUUCAGCGACCCCGGAAAUUUCCCAUUUAUAUCAGUCGUAUUUGGAUUGCCUGAAAAUGCUCUACACUUUGGAUAUGAGGAAGCAGUUUUGCCCUCCGGGAUUCUGGACCGCGAGGAAAAUGCACGUUUCGCACGAUUUGGCGAAGAAAAACUACUUAAGCAAACGGAGUUUCCCUUUCGGAAGUCAUCCACCAUUCAUAGACGAUGAUGAGCAUCUGCCACCUUUGUCGACCAUAGAGCAAAGAUCCUUAGCGAUUUUACAAGAACUUCCGUUUUUGAUACCGUUUAAUACGAGAGUGCAAUUGUUGAGGGAUUUAUGCAGGUACAGCCUGGGCGAAAAUGAUUAUCAAAGGAUGCACCACGAACGUAUGUUCGACAACACCGUAGUUAUAAGAAGGAAUUAUUUGUAUGAAGACGCGUUUGAGAAAAUAUCUACGAAAAGCGAGACCGACCUAAAGCAUAGAGUAAGAAUCCAAUUCAUAAACAACAUAGGGCUCGAAGAAGCCGGCAUAGAUGGCGGUGGGAUCUUUAAGGAGUUUAUCAACGAAGUGCUUAAAACCGCUUUUGAUCCGAACAGGGGUUUUUUCCUAAUGACCGCGGACAAUACUCUUUACCCGAACCCGAACGUGCAUCUGAUCGUAGAGAACUUUGCCGAGCACUAUCAUUUUAUAGGAAAACUUGUUGGAAAGGCGAUUUUUGAAAACAUUUUGGUGGACCUUCCUAUAGCGGAAUUUUUUCUAGCUAAACUUUUAGUUGACCGAGCCAGCGCUUGCUACUUGAAAUCACUGGACCCGGUACUUUACAGAAAUCUGCUCUAUCUUAGAGAUUAUAACGGUGACGUCAGCGAUCUCGGUCUCGAUUUUACCACCGUGAAUAACGAUUUAGGAGAAACCAGGGAACGGACUUAAUAGCGUUGUACCGCUGCUUUGGUUAAAACUGUUCAACCAUAAGGAGCUGCAGGUGAUUAUAGGGGGCGAUAAUCAGGAGGUGGACCUUAACGAUUUGAGAGCUCACACGGUUUAUUCCGGGGAUUUUACUGCUGAGCAUCCCACUAUUCUUAUGUUUUGGCGGAUUCUUUACGAAUUUACGGACGUGCAAAAACGACAGUUGUUGAAGUUUGUCACUAGUUGCUCAAGGCCUCCGCUACUUGGUUUUAAG
rnacentral:misc_RNA from 1 species